UUCAGAGCCUCCAAGCUCCUAAGGUUACUAUAGAGAGAAACACUUGGGUGUUGGGUUAAAAGCAUUUCCAAUCUAAGCUUUUCUAAACACUUGGGAUGUAAGAUAGAAUGUUAUUUCGGUAUUGAGGUGUAGAUCAAAGUCAUAGUUCAUCCAAGGUGUUUAAGUUCUUUGAAACUUAAGGUUUUUGGAGUGUUCCAAUCUUGUUUUUGUCUCCAUAUCCCGGUUUUUGAUGGUGCAGGAAAAUGAGCAUGGAAGGCGAGAAGGAUUCGUGGCAACUUGGCAUGUGUGUUGAGGAGGAAUAGAUUUAAUGGAUUGCUGGAAGAUCAAGAAUGAUGUUGUUUUUAAGUCUUUUGAUUUAUGUUUUUAUGUAUUUCUGCACUUAGUAUUUUAACACAAUUUAUUUAAUGUUUAUGUUUAUGUUUUAUAAUAAUGGGGUCCCAUACCAUAUUUUGUAUUUGACACAAUAUUUUGGGUUUUGAACAAAGUUAUGUUAUUUCUUAAAUAUGUAUUCAAAUUAGUAGUUAUGUUUAGUAGUUUUUAAUGUUCC